GUCCCUGUUUGUGGGUGGUGUCUGUGGGUGACUGUAGUGGUGUCACGGUGCUGGUGAAGUCACGGUGUUGGUGAAGUCACGGUGUUGGCGGUGUCACGGCGGCCUCCAGGCUCUGGGGCUGGAGCGGGUGUUGCGGGAGGAGCUGGUGGAGGACCUGGACGAGGAGGGUC
rnacentral:lncRNA from 1 species